rnacentral:rRNA from 1 species
CCUACGGGUGGCAGCAGUGGGGAAUAUUGCACAAUGGGGGGAACCCUGAUGCAGCGACGCCGCGUGAGUGAAGAAGUAUUUCGGUAUGUAAAGCUCUAUCAGCAGGGAAGAAAAUGACGGUACCUGACUAAGAAGCUCCGGCUAACUACGUGCCAGCAGCCGCGGUAAUACGUAGGGGGCAAGCGUUAUCCGGAUUUACUGGGUGUAAAGGGAGCGCAGACGGCUGUGCAAGUCUGGAGUGAAAGGCGGGGGCCCAACCCCCGGACUGCUCUGGAAACUGGAAAGCUGGAGUGCAGGAGAGGUAAGCGGAAUUCCUGGUGUAGCGGUGAAAUGCGUAGAUAUUAGGAGGAACACCAGUGGCGAAGGCAGCAUACUGGACUGCAACUGACGUUGAGGCUCGAAAGCGUGGGGAGCGAACAGGAUUAGAUACCCUGGUAGUC